rnacentral:rRNA from 1 species
GACGAACGCUGGCGGCGUGCCUAACACAUGCAAGUCGAGCGGGGUUGAAGCGAGAGGUAACUCGAACUUCUACCUAACGGCGGACGGGUGAGUAACGCGUGGGCAACCUGCCUCAAGGUCUGGGAUAACAGCCCGAAAGGGCUGCUAAUACCGGGUAUGCUUGUGGCCUCGCAUGGGGCUACGAGCAAAGGGGAAACCCGCCUUGAGAUGGGCCCGCGUCCCAUCAGCUAGUUGGUGAGGUAACAGCUCACCAAGGCGACGACGGGUAGCCGGCCUGAGAGGGUGACCGGCCACACUGGGACUGAGACACGGCCCAGACUCCUACGGGGGGCAGCAGUGGGGGAUCUUGCACAAUGGGCGAAAGCCUGAUGCAGCGACGCCGCGUGAGCGAAGAAGGCCUUCGGGUUGUAAAGCUCUGUCUGGAGGGACGAAGGAAGUGACGGUACCUCCGGAGGAAGCCACGGCUAACUACGUG